UCCUAAGUAGUGUAGUGGAUCAGUACGGCAGACCGGAUAUCUGUAGGUGCGGGUUCGAGUCCCGCCUGAGGUU
rnacentral:tRNA from 1 species